rnacentral:lncRNA from 1 species
GAGGGGUUCCUCCCUUCACCCUUUGAAGUGGGUGGGGGGCCGGACGCCCGCCACGCCUGAGUGCGGAGGGCGAGGGCGGGAGCAAGGCCACCACAAAGACUGCGAUUGUUAGCCGGCGGCGCACAGUGGGCGGGGCUCGGGGGCCAGCAUGGAAAUAAGGCUGCAGCCCCUCUCCCGGCUCCCGCCCCUUCUCCUUCCUCCCCGGCUCCAGCUGGUCCAGCUCCACAAGGAGGGACCGGUGGAGGAGCGCCCAGCAGGCCCAGAGGUGCACCUCUCCUGCUGGGUCAUCGGGCUGUGCAUGCCGAGGGUGGUGGUCAGGAGGCCAGGUGAGUGGCGCACCUGGACAGUCAGGCACAGUGGAGGCCAGUGCAGAGUCCCAGGCAGGGCACGGUGUGAGGGGUGCUGGCCGAAGCCUGGCCAGUGGGAGGAAGGGGCCUUUUGUUCCCCCGGCGCCCCUGCCCGACCUCCCUGAGGUUUCAGGUGCCUCCUUGGUCACCCAGCCACUCUCCCCUGCUCUGGGCUGGCUGCCCUCCUCCUGCCAGCUGCAUCCUGGCAGCGGAGCAGCCCCUGUUGUCCCCAGGCCCAGCCCAGGUCCCAGAAGGCGUGUUGUGGGGAGGGGUCCCAGGCUGUCCCCCACUCACCCCGCCUAGGGGUCUAGUGUCAGCAAAGUGCCCCUGGGAAGAUGAGGGUGAGGGCUUGCUGCCUCUGCUGCCCUCAAGAAAGCACAGACCAAGUCGGGACAGGAGCAGCCUGGGGGCUAGUCUCCCUGGGGUUCCUCCAGGGCCUGCAGAGCCUCCACACCAGCCCUGAGCCCCUUCUGCCUGGCUGCAGGGGCCCAGCCCACCAGGGCAUGCAGGACCCCAUGGGAGCAGGAUCCCCUGGACUAGAAUGCCUGGGCCUCCUUGGAGAGCUGGGAGCAGGGACUGAUUUCCUUGGCCCUGAGGCCUCCCUCCAUCAGACCCCUGCCCCACUUGGCUGUCUCCUCAGACAGGCAGGGCGAUGGUGGGAUGAUGAGCCCAGCCCAGGGCCCAGGUUGUCUCAAGUCUGCACUGGUAGGGGCUCUGCCUGUCCCCACCGCCUCUGUCCACAGCCUGGGAGAGGGGCGGGGAGGGGAAGCUGGUCAUCAGUCAUCGUGUUACUCAGAGCCUUCAGCCACCCGUGGGCUGGUGUGGAGUCCAGGAGUCUGUUUGUGUGCAUUUCAGGGUGA